AGAGAAUUUCUAGUGAAGGAUAAAAUCAUGGGUAGAUAAGAUGCAAGAAGACCUUGUAACGUUGGCAAGAACAGCAAGUGGAGUGGACCAGCUUGCUGCGAUUUAUUUGAAAAACAGAGAUUUGUAUACUGUAGAAGCCAACAAUCCUCGUCAGUUAGUGGAAAUAGCAGCCAGAGACAUUGAAAAACUGCUGAGUAACAGAUCUAAAGCC